UGGUGGGUAGUUUGACUGGGGCGGUCUCCUCCUAAAGAGUAACGGAGGAGCACGAAGGUUGGCUAAUCCUGGUCGGACAUCAGGAGGUUAGUGCAAUGGCAUAAGCCAGCUUGACUGCGAGCGUGACGGCGCGAGCAGGUGCGAAAGCAGGUCAUAGUGAUCCGGUGGUUCUGAAUGGAAGGGCCAUCGCUCAACGGAUAAAAGGUACUCCGGGGAUAACAGGCUGAUACCGCCCAAGAGUUCAUAUCGACGGCGGUGUUUGGCACCUCGAUGUCGGCUCAUCACAUCCUGGGGCUGAAGUAGGUCCCAAGGGUAUGGCUGUUCGCCAUUUAAAGUGGUACGCGAGCUGGGUUUAGAACGUCGUGAGACAGUUCGGUCCCUAUCUGCCGUGGGCGCUGGAGAAUUGAGGGGGGCUGCUCCUAGUACGAGAGGACCGGAGUGGACGCAUCACUGGUGUUCGGGUUGUCAUGCCAAUGGCACUGCCCGGUAGCUAAAUGCGGAAGAGAUAAGUGCUGAAAGCAUCUAAGCACGAAACUUGCCCCGAGAUGAGUUCUCCCUGACUCCUUGAGAGUCCUGAAGGAACGUUGAAGACGACGACGUUGAUAGGCCGGAUGUGUAAGCGCAGCGAUGCGUUGAGCUAACCGGUACUAAUGAACCGUGAGGCUUAACCUUACAACGCCGAAGGUGUUU
rnacentral:rRNA from 1 species